rnacentral:tRNA from 1 species
GGCGAGAUGGCCGAGUGGUUAUGGCGCUGCGUUCAGGUCAAACUGAGCAAAUUUCGCAGUGGAGCAAUCCGCGUGGGUUCGAGUCCCACUCUCGUCA